rnacentral:rRNA from 1 species
AGGCUGACCUCAAAUCAGG